rnacentral:rRNA from 1 species
GACAGAGGGUGCAAACGUUGUUCGGAAUUACUGGGCGUAAAGCGCGUGUAGGCGGCCCUGCAAGUCGGAUGUGAAAUCCCGCGGCUCAACCGUGGAAGUGCAUUCGAAACUGCAGGGCUAGAGUCCUGGAGAGGAAGGUGGAAUGCUUGGUGUAGAGGUGAAAUUCGUAGAUAUCAAGCGGAACACCGGUGGCGAAGGCGGCCUUCUGGACAGUGACUGACGCUGAGACGCGAAAGCGUGGGGAGCAAACAGGG